UACGUAGGUGGCAAGCGUUGUCCGGAUUUAUUGGGUUUAAAGGGUGCGUAGGCGGCCCUAUAAGUCAGUGCUGAAAUAUCCCGGCUUAACCGGGAGGGUGGCAUUGAUACUGUAGGGCUUGAGUGUAGUCGAGGUAGGCGGAAUUGACGGUGUAGCGGUGAAAUGCUUAGAUAUCGUCAAGAACACCGAUAGUGUAGACAGCUUACUAGGCUGUAACUGACGCUGAGGCACGAAAGUGUGGGGAUCAAACAGG
rnacentral:rRNA from 1 species